ACUUAAUGAAAUUACCAUGACUUGCUUGCAAAUGAAGUUCCAAGUGACAAUGGAAACAUGAAGAAUUCAAAUAGAAGCAAUACCAUUGGAAAACCUGCAAAAGAAAAGGAACUCAGCAUCCAUUGUCCAAAUUCCACAUAUCCACCAGUAGUGCAUGACAACAACUUAAAUGUUAUGUCAUCUGGUGCACUUACUGCACAGUGGGAUGAUGUCUGCAAUGCAGACAAGUGCUAAUUGGAAUUCAGGACAAGGAAGUACAAACCCAUCUAAGGAUCUCAUGACAGGUUCUUAUCUUCACAAGCUAUUGCAAAUGUAAUCCACCAAGUGAUAGGUCCCUUCAUCCAGGUUUUGGUAUACUUCAACAUCAGCAUCCUACAACAAACAAGGGUUAAAACUGAAGGUAAUUCAUAUCCAGCAGUAGGAAAAUGUGAAACUGGCUUACACUGCAUAUGCCUAUAAAGAAGAUGCUGGAUGACCUGCAGUGCAACCACUAAAACCAUGACUAGCUUUACGUUUGUAUCCAACAGGAACAAAUCUUACAACACAUUCAAAACACUGCCAACAUUUUUGCAUCAAGCCAAGGCAACACAAACUAAUACUGCUACACCAUGACCCAUGACAAACCAUAAUGCACAAGUGAUUUCCCAACCUAUCAACCAUUGAUCAUAGUGUACAAUCUGUAACAAACCCUACACUCACCACAAAGCUUUGCCUAAGUCAAAAUACAACAUUCAACAAUAAUUACACACAUACCUCAAUGGACAGUGUUGCUGAAUUGAAGCUUCAUUAUGUGCCAGGUUCAUGCCAACUAGAGCACUGCAUAAUCACAUCCAAGCCCUUGAGAUUUCCAGCUUAACAUGACCCUACAUGUAUCA
rnacentral:lncRNA from 1 species